GCCUAUGUUUGGUCUGUCGCAGAUAUGUGAGUGUCGCCGCUGUUCCAAGUACAUGUGUGCCUGAUUUGAUCAUUAUUACACGGCUGGAUCUGUUGUUGAAGCUGUGCAAUGUGCCCGAAUUGAAGCGGAUCCUUGUGAAUGUUUCUUGUUCAAACCAAUAUAAUGACUAGGAGUUAUUUGCUUGAGUAGCCCCGUCGCUCGCUUUGGAGCGGCAGUUUUGUUGUGCAUUUGUUGGAUUCAGCUACCCAUUCUCCUUUUGUAACAUGUAUGUAGGUGGAUAUAUACGUUGAAACAUUUUGGUUUGGCACAAAAGAGGGUAAGUGCAAUCCUUCUGUUGUAUAUAAAUAACUUUGUUGUCACAAAAUGUGCAGUUAUUAUUAUUAUUAUUGUUAUUAUUAUUAGUGAGCAAGUCUGGAACCACCUUCUGUGAGGUUUGACUUCGGUCAGUUUUGUCUAACUGAUUGUGUAACUUGCAAGCAUCUUACAG
rnacentral:lncRNA from 1 species